rnacentral:lncRNA from 1 species
GCAACUUAAAAACUAUUUUUCAUAUUACAUAACUCAUAUAUAAAAAAUAUAAUAUCAAAAUCAUAAAAAAAACUAAAAUUUAUAUGAAGCACGCAAUCUUAGUUUUUUGAUAGAUGAUUUGACGAUUGAGUUUCGAUGAACUUGGUUUCUCAUUUGAGAUUUAAGAUUUGGAUAAGCAAACUAAGUUAAAUCUAAUGAUUUAUGUUAGUUGGCUCAAGGAAAAUGUAAUUGAUAGAAAUUUUUUCGAUUAAGCUCAAAAUUGAUCAAUUGGGAUUGGAAUUAAGUUGGAGAGAUGAUGCAUUAGGGUUUCAAAUUUAGUAAGAUAGAAUG